GACAGAGGUGCCAAGCGUUAGGCGGAAUCACUGGGCUUAAAGCGCGUGUAGGCGGGAGGGCACGUCCGUUGCUGAAAUCCCCCGGCUCAACCGGGGAACGGGCGCGGAUACGACUCUCCUUGAGGGGCGUAGGGGGACCUGGAACUUCCGGUGGAGCGGUGAAAUGCGUUGAGAUCGGAAGGAACGCCCGUGGCGAAAGCGAGGUCCUGGACGCCUACUGACGCUGAGACGCGAAAGCCAGGGGAGCGAACGGG
rnacentral:rRNA from 1 species